rnacentral:rRNA from 1 species
AUCGCUGCAGCGUUACCGCGUGAGUGAAGAAGGCUCUGGGUUGUAAAGCUCUUCUGUAAGGGAAGAUAAUGACUGUAGCCCUAAGAAUAAGGUCCGGCUAAUCCGUGCCAGCAGGCGCGGUAAUACGAACGGACCUAGCGUAGUUCGGAAUUACUGGGCGUAAAGCGCGCGUAGGCCGUUGAGUACAGUUAAUAGUGAAAUCCCAAAGCUUAAAUUUGGAACUCGCAAUUAAAACUGUUCGACUAGAGUUUGAUAGAGGAAAGCGGAAUACAUAGUGUAGAUUGUGAAAUUCGUAGAUAUUAUGUAGAACACCAGUUGCGAAAGCGGCUUUCUGGGUCAACACUGACGCUGAGGCGCGAAAGUAUGGGUAGCAAAGAGGAUUAGAUACCCUCGUAGUCCAUACCAUAAACGAUGAUUGCUAGAUGUUGGAAAUCUAUUUACAGUAUCGCAGCUAACGCAUUAAGCAAUCCGCCUGGGGAGUACGAGCGCAAGGUUAAAACUCAAAUGAAUUGACGGGGACCCGAACAAGCGGUGGAGCAUGUGGUUUAAUUCGAAGAUACGCGCAGAACCUUACCAAGCCUUGACAUGUCUGUCGCGAGUUUAGGAAACUAGACUUAUCGGUUCGGGCCGGACAGAACACAGGUGCUGCAUGGUUGUCGUCAGCUCGUGUCGUGAGAUGUA